GCCGACGUGGCGCAAUCGGUUUAGCGCGUCAGACUUUUAAUCCCCAAUUGAGAGAUCUGAAUGUUGCGAGUUCGAGUCUCGCCGUUGGCG
rfam:Chaetomium globosum CBS 148.51 scaffold_4 genomic scaffold, whole genome shotgun sequence.